GAUGAACGCUGGCGGCGUGCCUAACACAUGCAAGUCGAACGGAGAUUACGGACGGAAGUUUUCGGAUGGAAGACUGUAAUUCUUAGUGGCGGACGGGUGAGUAACGCGUGGGCAACCUGCCCUAUACAGGGGGAUAGCAGCUGGAAACGGCUGGUAAGACCGCAUAAGUCGGCGGGACCGCAUGGUUUUGCCGGGAAAUGAGCAAUCAGGUAUAGGAUGGGCCCGCGUCCGAUUAGCCAGUUGGCAGGGUAAAAGCCUACCAAAGCAACGAUCGGUAGCCGGACUGAGAGGUCGGACGGCCACAUUGGGACUGAGACACGGCCCAAACUCCUACGGGAGGCAGCAGUGGGGGAUAUUGCACAAUGGAGGAAACUCUGAUGCAGCGACGCCGCGUGAGUGAAGAAGUAUUUCGGUAUGUAAAGCUCUAUCAGCAGGGAAGAUGAUGACGGUACCUGACUAAGAAGCCCCGGCUAACUACGUG
rnacentral:rRNA from 1 species